rnacentral:rRNA from 2 species
GGGUUGUGAGGUUAAGCGACUAAGCGUACACGGUGGAUGCCCUGGCAGUCAGAGGCGAUGAAGGACGUGCUAAUCUGCGAAAAGCGUCGGUAAGGUGAUAUGAACCGUUAUAGCCGGCGAUGUCCGAAUGGGGAAACCCAGUGCAAUUCGUUGCACUAUCGUUAACUGAAUACAUAGGUUAACGAGGCGAACCGGGGGAACUGAAACAUCUAAGUACCCCGAGGAAAAGAAAUCAACCGAGAUUCCCCCAGUAGCGGCGAGCGAACGGGGAGCAGCCCAGAGUCUGAAUCAGCUUGUGUGUUAGUGGAACGGUCUGGAAAGUCCGACGGUACAGGGUGAUAGUCCCGUACACCAAAAUGCACAGGCUGUGAACUCGAAGAGUAGGGCGGGACACGUGGUAUCCUGUCUGAAUAUGGGGGGACCAUCCUCCAAGGCUAAAUACUCCUGACUGACCGAUAGUGAACCAGUACCGUGAGGGAAAGGCGAAAAGAACCCCGGCGAGGGGAGUGAAAAAGAACCUGAAACCGUGUACGUACAAGCAGUGGGAGCACCUUCGGGUGUGACUGCGUACCUUUUGUAUAAUGGGUCAGCGACUUAUAUUCUGUAGCAAGGUUAACCGUAUAGGGGAGCCGCAGGGAAACCGAGUCUUAACUGGGCGUUAAGUUGCAGGGUAUAGACCCGAAACCCGGUGAUCUAGCCAUGGGCAGGUUGAAGGUUGGGUAACACUAACUGGAGGACCGAACCGACUAAUGUUGAAAAAUUAGCGGAUGACUUGUGGCUGGGGGUGAAAGGCCAAUCAAACCGGGAGAUAGCUGGUUCUCCCCGAAAGCUAUUUAGGUAGCGCCUCGUGAACUCAUCUUCGGGGGUAGAGCACUGUUUCGGCUAGGGGGUCAUCCCGACUUACCAACCCGAUGCAAACUACGAAUACCGAAGAAUGUUAUCACGGGAGACACACGGCGGGUGCUAACGUCCGUCGUGAAGAGGGAAACAACCCAGACCGCCAGCUAAGGUCCCAAAGUCAUGGUUAAGUGGGAAACGAUGUGGGAAGGCACAGACAGCCAGGAUGUUGGCUUAGAAGCAGCCAUCAUUUAAAGAAAGCGUAAUAGCUCACUGGUCGAGUCGGCCUGCGCGGAAGAUGUAACGGGGCUAAACCAUGCACCGAAGCUGCGGCAGCGACACUAUGUGUUGUUGGGUAGGGGAGCGUUCUGUAAGCCUGCGAAGGUGUGCUGUGAGGCAUGCUGGAGGUAUCAGAAGUGCGAAUGCUGACAUAAGUAACGAUAAAGCGGGUGAAAAGCCCGCUCGCCGGAAGACCAAGGGUUCCUGUCCAACGUUAAUCGGGGCAGGGUGAGUCGACCCCUAAGGCGAGGCCGAAAGGCGUAGUCGAUGGGAAACAGGUUAAUAUUCCUGUACUUGGUGUUACUGCGAAGGGGGGACGGAGAAGGCUAUGUUAGCCGGGCGACGGUUGUCCCGGUUUAAGCAUGUAGGCUGGUUGUCCAGGCAAAUCCGGAUAAUCAAGGCUGAGGUGUGAUGACGAGGCACUACGGUGCUGAAGUAACAAAUGCCCUGCUUCCAGGAAAAGCCUCUAAGCAUCAGGUAACAUUAAAUCGUACCCCAAACCGACACAGGUGGUCAGGUAGAGAAUACCAAGGCGCUUGAGAGAACUCGGGUGAAGGAACUAGGCAAAAUGGUGCCGUAACUUCGGGAGAAGGCACGCUGGUGUGUAGGUGAAGUCCCUGCGGAUGGAGCUGAGACCAGUCGAAGAUACCAGCUGGCUGCAACUGUUUAUUAAAAACACAGCACUGUGCAAACACGAAAGUGGACGUAUACGGUGUGACGCCUGCCCGGUGCCGGAAGGUUAAUUGAUGGGGUUAUCCGUAAGGAGAAGCUCUUGAUCGAAGCCCCGGUAAACGGCGGCCGUAACUAUAACGGUCCUAAGGUAGCGAAAUUCCUUGUCGGGUAAGUUCCGACCUGCACGAAUGGCGUAAUGAUGGCCAGGCUGUCUCCACCCGAGACUCAGUGAAAUUGAACUCGCUGUGAAGAUGCAGUGUACCCGCGGCAAGACGGAAAGACCCCGUGAACCUUUACUAUAGCUUGACACUGAACAUUGAGCCUUGAUGUGUAGGAUAGGUGGGAGGCUUUGAAGCGUGGACGCCAGUCUGCGUGGAGCCAACCUUGAAAUACCACCCUUUAAUGUUUGAUGUUCUAACGUUGGCCCCUGACCGGGGUUGCGGACAGUGUCUGGUGGGUAGUUUGACUGGGGCGGUCUCCUCCCAAAGCGUAACGGAGGAGCACGAAGGUUAGCUAAUCCUGGUCGGACAUCAGGAGGUUAGUGCAAUGGCAUAAGCUAGCUUGACUGCGAGCGUGACGGCGCGAGCAGGUGCGAAAGCAGGUCAUAGUGAUCCGGUGGUUCUGAAUGGAAGGGCCAUCGCUCAACGGAUAAAAGGUACUCCGGGGAUAACAGGCUGAUACCGCCCAAGAGUUCAUAUCGACGGCGGUGUUUGGCACCUCGAUGUCGGCUCAUCACAUCCUGGGGCUGAAGUAGGUCCCAAGGGUAUGGCUGUUCGCCAUUUAAAGUGGUACGCGAGCUGGGUUUAGAACGUCGUGAGACAGUUCGGUCCCUAUCUGCCGUGGGCGCUGGAGAAUUGAGGGGGGCUGCUCCUAGUACGAGAGGACCGGAGUGGACGCAUCACUGGUGUUCGGGUUGUCAUGCCAAUGGCACUGCCCGGUAGCUAAAUGCGGAAGAGAUAAGUGCUGAAAGCAUCUAAGCACGAAACUUGCCCCGAGAUGAGUUCUCCCUGAGACUUUAAGUCUCCUGAAGGAACGUUAAAGACGAUGACGUUGAUAGGCCGGGUGUGUAAGCGCAGCGAUGCGUUGAGCUAACCGGUACUAAUGAACCGUGAGGCUUAACCUUACAACGCCGAAG